UUUCUUUAGUUUUCACAACAUAUGUUUCCAUAGUCCACGGCUGCUUAUAUCUUUGCUACGAAUAAUAGCAAAGGAAUUCCCUGCAGCUUCCACAUCUUGAUGCCUAAUGUUAUUUGUUUUCAAGGACAUGUCUGAAUAUUUAUUGUACGUUUGAGAGCAAAGGUAGAGCCGGAGGUGCUAUCAACAAUUGUAGGGGAGUUCGGGGAACAUAAAACUUCUUUUCUUGUUGGAGACUCUGGAUAUAUACCUUCUCUCAACACUGUCUUCAGCUAGCAAUGCUCUAGUUUCUAUAAUUUGCUUUAAUUUCGUCUUACUAGCGAAUAUUCUUUGUUCAUUUCCACUUAAUUGGUUGAUUUUUUAACUAAAUGCAAGGAAAAUGUUUCGGUCCAGACAAGACCAAUCUAAUACAUGACCUGACAUGAAAUCUUAUCACAAAUUUUUUUGACAAGAAUGUAUGCUGUCAACGAUCUGGUUGAAUACAACUAUCAAGGACAAAUAAGCCAGAGCCGGAGAAAUUUAAAAACUUAUAGACAGCAGUGCAAAAGUAUAUACUAUAAGUAAGGCGAGGAGACUUACAAUUUUAAAGUUGCCUUUCUUCAAAGUAAUGAUCAUACCUUAAGGUUUCAUUUUGUUUCAUGCUACAGAGAGACCACCAUCUUUAGUAACUUCAUCAUCAAGAGUUAAAUGUGAGAUCUUAAAUGACUUGUCAAUGGUUCCUACUGCUAAUUUUUCCAUCUCAACAAAGUCAUCCAUCAGACUAAUGCCUAAAUCUACAACUACACUGGAUGGUGCCUCAUGUUUAUAAUUACUUAAAGGCUCCAUUUUUGAAAUGAACCGAAAAGCCACAGAUUCAACAAUGCUUAACUUUCCAUCACUAUCCAUGUCAGGCAUUGAAGCCACAUAAGUUCAUGUAUGGCAGGUACAUUUAGUCCCAUAACUAUCGAAUCUUCAACUAAUUUAUCAAGUUGUGCCUCAACUUCGAAAAAUUUAGAGGUUGAACUAUCAAAUAUGUCAUUUGAAAUCUGGAGGUUAUUAAUUUGUGCAAUCAAAUCUUCUUUAAGAGUUUAAUUUUCUUCCUCAAUUUAGAAAGUUUGAUCUUUGUUCUUGAUAUUAAAAUAAAUUUACUACCUCCAUCCUAUUCUAAAAGAAUAAUGCAUAAAAAAAGUUAGUUGAAUUGUAUAUUUUAGGUAUUAACCCUAUUUAUUGGAUUACUUUUACCUAUAAGUGUUAUAAAUUCGCAUUGGAAAUGAUAAAAAAGGGUAAAUUUGAAAAUUGGUAGAUAAAUUUACAUUGGAUGUAGAGAUGGACAACUAUCAUGAAAUAAAAAAAAUCUUUAAAAAAAAGACUAGUAUAUUGGGAGGAAGGAGGUAUAUCUUAAUUUGAUUAAUUACUUUAAUAUAAAUUACAUAUAUAUUAUAUUAUUAAAAGUUAAACAUACAAAAGUAAAUCACUCAAAUCAAACUUUUUAGAACAUUAUAUUAAAUUUAUUUCGCUGUUAUGUUAUUAAGGUAUGAAUGAACAUUAUAUCAAAUUUUAUAUAUUUCACUAUUAUGUUAUUAAGGUCUGAAUCAAACCCAGUCAACAAAAUAUCAAUAUAAAUUAUUAAAUUAAAUACAUAUAAUAAAGUUCUCUAUAUUUCAAUAUGAUACUACUAAAAAAUUCGGAAGUUCAAACCAUCAACAACAUAUUAAAAUAAAUUAUUAAAUUAAGUUAGAACAAAGUUCCAUGUAUUCCACAUAUUUACUGUAGUACCGUAGACCACGUAUGUUCUGCAACUAUAGAAUGGCAUAAAAACAUUGCAAAAUGUGUUAUUUUGCAAAUCAUGUUCUAUAAACGUCAUUAUUUUGUUAAAAAUUUUGACAAUCCUAAACAUUCUACAAGUUAAAUAGUGAAAAAUACAUUAUUCUGCAAAACAUGUUAAGUUUGCAGAACAUAUUUACAUAUUACAGAACAUAUGUGUUCUACUUGUCGAACAUAAAUGAUUUUCAAUAUUUUUCAUGAAAUAGUGAUAUUUAUAGAAUGUAUUUCACAAAAUAACAAGUUUCAUACAUUUUGCAAUGUUUUUAUGUCAUUCUAUAGUUGCAGAACAUACGUGGUUUACGGUACUACAGUAAAUAUGUGGAUUACAUGGAACUUAACUCAAUUAAAUUAACAUAAAAAUAUUAUUGAGUACUGAAAACUAAAAAUAAUUUAAAUUUAAAUAACAUAAUAUAAUACAUAAAUGCUGUUGGGUCCAAGUUAUAUGGAGACCACACUUAUUUGGAGUUUUGGAGUCCUCCAUCUGGUCCGUUCAUUUUGCUCAGAUCUAACGGCUGUUAUAUUUUAGUUUAUUUUAUAAAAAAACAUGUGUAUAUCUCAUUGAGCGUAAACAUGUACAUCUCUUUAACUGUAUCAAAGCUUGUAACUGUUGCUUACGUUUGAGCGUUGAGGAUGACGGUUUUUCAGUUUGGAGAGACUGUGUCUGCAAACUUAUCCUUAAUUUCUUCGUACUUUCUUCUCUCUGUACAGGAUUGCAGAAUUGUUGUUCAAUCUAUUCUUGUCGAAGUGGUCCUAUGAGCGUUGAGGAUGACGGUUUUUCAGUUUGGAGAGACUGUGUCUGCAAACUUAUCCUUAAUUUCUUCGUACUUUCUUCUCUCUGUACAGGAUUGCAGAAUUGUUGUUCAAUCUAUUCUUGUCGAAGUGGUCCUAUAUUAUUGUCCUGCAAAUGGUACACAAUGGAGUUCAUUCAAGUUUUUUUUAAAUUCAUGGGUUCUACAGAUUUUAGUAAUACAAUAUUUUUCAAUUCGUCGUAAUUUAGGGAAUUGAGAAUUUUUUUCAAUUGUUCUGCACACCGGCGUGAACAUAUUUUGUUGUAUAAUGUUGUUCUAUCUUCUUGUCCUGCAAAUUGUUAACAAUGGAGUUUAGUUUGGUUCGUUGUUUACAUACUCUGGUCUUGUAGAAGCAAAUACAUUAGUUUUUCAACUCGUUGUAAUUUAGGGAAUUGAGCAUCUUGUCAAUUGUUCUGCACACCUGAACUCAUUGUUCUUCUUUACCAAGCUUUGCUUGGUUUGCAGCCAAUUUAUAUGCCAAUUACAAUAUGAUCCUGCACUUCCCUUUUUACGGCGUGUCCAAUUCUUAAAGGAUUUGGAUAGUGAAUGAAUGAGUGAUUUUAGGAGGACAACUGGACAUGUAACUGUAGAUUCAAUGACGCUUAAUCCGGGGUUACGAUCGUGUCAUGUCUAUAUACGGAACUGCGUAUUUGUUUUUUCUUAAUUUUCUCUUUCUUAUUUUUUAAUAGACAAUACCAGCCACGUGUCCUGCACAUCUGUUGUUCUGAUGCUUCUAAUCCAACGGUGUUAGAUUAGGUCUUCAAGUCCUCCAAACAAAACAAAUCUCCAAGUAACCCAACUCAAUGGUGUUAUCACAAUUAUGAUCAUGGAUCACAAAUCUUGGAUUUUGAAUCAAAAUGACCGGAUAUGGCAUCAAGCAGAGUAUUAGAAAGUCCUUAUUAGAAUAAACUCUUUGAAUGUUAUUUUAAACUUGAAUAUGAUUUUGAAAUCAAAUUUAAAAUUGUUUGUUAAGAAAUAUAACAACUAAAUCCGAAAAGUUGUCGAAAGUUGAAAAUGACCUACAAAGUAAUAAAGUCUAUAAAGUCCCGAAGAAAUGUGAAGGUGGGUAUAAAAUCUUCUAUUUUAGGAAGGGGGAUUUGUCUUUGAUAACUUUCUUCAAUCCCUAGGCCUUCCUUUUGGCUCGGCUUUUUGACGAAGGAUGCGAUGCCUUCCCCUCUGUUGCUAGAUGGAGUAUAGUCCUCAUCUUUAUCUGAAUCGGAGACCUUCCGUUUAGCCCGGGUUCCUUUUUUAGCUCUGGUGCUCCUCGGAGUAUAGUCCUCGUCUUUAUCCGAAUCUGAGAUCUUCUCUUUGGCUCCAAUUCUCUUUUUAGCUCGGCUACUCCUAUGAGAGUAGUCCUCGUUUGAACUUGAUACCUUGUGAUCAUUUGCCCAUGAAGGAGCUACGUCUGCUUUGUAGCCAUAGUCAAUAAACAGUUCUUGCCCAGCAUAUAUCCUUUCCUUCGCAAAUAUUCCGAUCCUAUGAUCGCCAGCCACUAACAAAUUCUGCUAAAAGCAAAAAGCUAUUAUGGCAACAUGCACUUGACCACUACAAGUAAACCAUGUAAUUAUCGCUUUUAUUUGUGGUCGUAAUGUGCUGAUGGGUAAUGAUUCACAUGUUCAAUCAAUAGCCAAGGGGAAAACAUACAGGUUUGGCAGGAAUAUGAAGUUCUCAGAAGCUAAAAUUUCUUACCUUUACAUAGCAAUUUGGUCUAGGAGAAUGGUUGGCGAACCGUAAAUUACUUCCCAUCCCAUAUGCGUCAAUAACAUACUAACACAAAAAAGUAGGCAAAUCAAUGUUUAAUCUACAAAAGUAAAGGUCAAAGAUCAGGGUAUUUGAUUUUCCAGUAUUAUACCUGAUCAUCAAGAUCAAACAAAUACGAGGAAUUCAAACGGUCAUAUGUCUUCCCACGUUUAUCUGCUUCAUAGUGCGUUAUCAGUUCACCGGUGUAUUCUCCAAUAAAUGCAUCCUUUUCGCAUUCAUUCUGUGGAAGCCAGUAAAAACGAGUCACGUAAAAUUUUAUUUGAAACAAAAGAAGGGACAAGCACAAAGCAAACAUUAUUCAUUCUGAUUAAUACAGAACUAUAAAGAGUUGGGUACCAUUAGGAAUGCUCCCCAUCCAGAUACACAAGAUUCACCAAUUAACACCUGUACAUAAAUUGGUGCCGUUAGACAUUAAUAUCAGCACACAAAAAAACACGCAUCCACAUCCAAGAAACACGUUAGUUGCUAUUUUCACACACUACUACACCAGAAUGCUAACCUUAUUCUCUAAUUACAAACCAGAUAAUAAAGUGAACUAUUGGAAAGACAUGUACUAUAGCCUAUAUAAAUCAUAUGAGUUAAUUAUUUUAGUCCCUGUUGCAAUCAAAUUACUAUCUCUGCUUCAUUAUUACUUGUAAAAACUCAAAGACACUUACAAAUCACAACUAGCGGGAACUGGUUAAGAAGAACCAUAAAAUCAUUGAAAAAGGUAUGGCAAAAAUGAGCAUGAGGGGAACAUUCUACAUCCAAAGAAUAUUUCCCCUGGAAGAAGCAAACUAACUUUUUGGGAUUAGACAACACCAUUUCAUUUUAAAGAGGAUAUUCUCCUUAAUAUACUCUUAACUUAAAUUGCGGAUGGCCAACUUCUUUGAUCUUUUUAAGUAAUAUGUCCAGGUGUAUUGACAUCGAAGGCUUUCACAUUACAAUAUUACUUGCAUAACAAGACACCCUAAACGCUUGUUUCCACACGAAAGCCUUCAGAAGAUAAUUAUACAGAUAAUUUCUCAAAACAAACAAUUUGCUUUGAAAUACUCCUUCAUCCCGCAAAGCUAUCCUGAUGUGAUGGUCGUUUUCUUUACAGACGAUUCCUAAUGAAGUCUAUAUUCAAUUUAUACCCCUUAAAAGUAUUCCAAAAAAUUAAAAAAAAACAGAAGGAAACUAUAUGGCGUAAAAUAUUAAAUAUUAUUACCUUCUGAUGUUGAUUUUGAAAAAGCUUCAUAUUCAUACAGUUGUAGCUUGUCUCUUUUGGAGGAGGAGCUCCACAAGUGCCAUCGCCACAACUGACGAACAAAAUUAAUCCAGGAGAAGUUACAGUGAAAAACAAAACUUAUUAGAGAAGAUUUUAUCAUCAAGGGUCAAUUUACGUAACAGUUUUAAUAAUAUUUCUCAGUCAGAUGUAAAACAAAUCAUCAGUGCUCUAAUUAGAGAAUUUUUGCCAUUUUUUUUCACCUUUUAACUGCCAAUACACAAAAAUUUGAAAGUGAAAAGUUAUUAAUUUUUAACAAUGCAUGUGUUGGGGUCGGGAAAAGAGUCAAUAAUAUUAAUGAAGGAGCUUAAAUAUUAUUUCUACCUGACAAAGCAAUUGAGGCAGACAUCAGGAUCACAUUCCCUAUUUGCAGCAACACAAGAGCAUUGUCGAGUUCGACACUGGUUUUUGGCACAACGGCAUCCUCUAAAUCGAUUUUUGCAACUCUUUGGACAACUGAAAGAUUAUAUAUAAUUCAAGCCACAUUUCCCAUCAUAAGAUACAUAUAGAUCACAGGAAUUAUACGAGGAUAUAACUAUGCAUACAUAAGUAACCCUUUAUGACAGUUCAACUAGUUUGGAUAAGGAGACGCUUGAUGUAAUCAUGAUCUAUAAGCAAGUGACAUACCCGCAGUACUUUUCACAGUAGGUUCUAUUUAAAAAGCACAAACAGUCCUCCCCCCCACAGGAAGAUUUACAUCCACAUGGGUCAUAAUGAUGAUUAAGUUCAACCUUUUUGACAGAACUGUUAUCAGAAGACUUCUUUGUGAACAAAAGGCGUCCUUCACCCUUCUUAUGAACAUGUUCUGAUUUUUCUUCUACUUGGGUACCCUGAUUCAUGUAUAUUCAAAAUGAAAAUCAAUUAUCUUAAGACGGCAAUUUAAGAACAACCAAUAUAAUAAGCAGGCAGAGGAUUGAAUUUUACAAGUGUCAUGCAAAUUGAAUUGAAGAGUGUCCAGAAUAGAUUAAAAGACAAUGAAACAUAGUUGCAAUAUUGUAAGCAACAGAAGACCAUAAAAAUUGUGUAUCAUAUGCUUUGCCUUCAAUAUUGAACUGCUCACUUGUACAGUUAUACUACUUGCUCCAAAUAAGAGAUGUCACUAAACAUAAUCUAGCUCGGCAUAAAACUAAUUCUGCUUACUAAUAAAACAAGGCAUAUACAUUUACAAUAUGUUGGUGUAUCUCUUGACUAAAGUUUUAAACAUAUUCAAAUAAAAUCACAUGUCCAUGUAAAAUCAGUACCAAUCAAAACAUGCCUUAUAGCAUAUUCAAUGCGAUGUUAUAAGUGAUGAAAUAUCUAUAAACGGCUACAACUAAAAAGGAACACCACUCUAAUCCACUGCUACAAAUGAUAUAAACUAUAAUUGCCACACAAGCAAGUGAAAAAUAGAGGAAAACGGAUAAUUAAAAGCUAAAACACAUUUCUAAAUACAUAUAGGAUACAAUUUGGCUCUAUUUUGAGUUUUUUGGUGCCAUGUCAAGACCAUACAUACGACAAAAAUUAUAUUCAGCAUCAAAAAAAUCAAAAAUCAAUUUCUGGUUUUAUAUUAUUUUACCACUAGCAUUGAACAUACUCUUAACAAGCAAAUUAUAUCUUCAAAUAACAAUCUAGCGAUACUCCUUACUAUUAUAGAAAAAUUGUAUCAUAAACACAACAAAAAUUAAACAAGUUCAAAGAAAACAAAAUAAUUGAGCCACAUAAACAAGUAUAUCAGCGCAAUUAAAAUACAGUUCUAAUAAAGUAAUAAAUCUCGAAACUUAUACAGAAGAAAUUUACAUAAUUUAUAUCGCCGUCAUAGUGCUCCAUCCGUAGAUUCCGAUUUUACAGUAGAUUCAAUCGUCUCAGGAAUCACUAGAGAAUUCAGAUCUGGCAGAAGCAAUGGCGGACUCAAGAAUUUUGGCGAGUGGGUUCUAUAUAUAAAUUGUUGAGAGGCAUAGAGAGUUGCUGCAAUUGUGAGCAGAAAGAUGGUCAGGGAGGCGAGGUUUGUAUUGUUGUUUGUUUUUGUUCUUUUUUUCCCCCUUAGGUUGUUGCUAUAAAAGGUUUGGGGAUGUUUUUGAUUUUUUGGGCUUAUUCUUAGUGGGCCUCUAAAUAUUUAAUUUCAAAUGGGGUCCUUAUUGAAUUUUCUAUUUAUAUUGGAUUUAGAUGCAGGUCCAAUGGGUGUAUGGGAACCCAUAGCCCAAGCUAUAGGUCCACCCCUGGGUAGAAGAUCUAGUUCAAUAGUUGAUGUAGUCAAUGUAGAUCUGAAAUACUGAGAUGUUUGUGUUAAUUAUCGAGCGAAAAAAAUAAUCAAAGAAUAAACAAAUUGGGAUGUUCGGUGAAACAGAAUUGGAAAAAUAAAAAAUUGAGGGUGUGGCGAAAGAGAAAAGGAAGAAUUUAAAAAUCUCAAAUGGGUCAAUCAAAAAAAGCCCAAAUAGCAUGGGAUGAAGUAAACAAUCCACCUAAUAAGACAAUCUACAUAAAUAAUUAACAAGACAAUAUACAUUUAAUAAAGAUAAUGAUUCAGAUGAGAACAAUUUACCUGUGAGAACAGCGAGAAAUGUGAUAUACAAAAUAAUUGUGCUGCAAUUUCAACAGUUGUUCUCACCUAAAUCACUAUUUAUAUUAAUGAAUAUCGUCUUAUUAAUUUAUUUAUAUAAACUGUUUUAUUGGUUGUACUGCUUGCUUCAUCCCGAUUUAUUUGGGCUUUAGUUGAUUGACCCAUUUAGGUUUUUUUUAAUUCUUCCAUUACUCUUCCGCCAGACACCCCCAUUUGUUUACUCUUCCUUUUCUCUUUUGCUAAACAACCCUGUUUGUUUAUUUUUUUCAUUUUUAUUUCGAUCGAUAAUUAACAAAAACAUCUCAGUAUUUCGUAUCUACAUUCACUACAUCAACUAUUGAACUAGUUAUUCUGCCCAGGGGCAGACCUAUAGCUUGGGCCAUGGGUUCUCAAGCACCCGUUGAACCUACAGCAAAACCAGAUAUAAAUAGAAAAUUCAGUAAGGAACCCAUUUGAAAAUUAUCUAUGAAACCAAUUAUUUAGAGGUUCACUAAAAAUAAGCCCAAAAAAUUAAAAAAACAACCCCAAACCUUUAGAGUAACAACGUAAACGAGGGGAAAAAAAGAAAGAAAACAAACAACAGUACAGACCUCGCCUCCCUCACCUUCUUUGUGCUCACAACCGCAACAACACUCUAUGACUCUCACCACAAUUUAUAUAUAGAAUCCACUCGCCAAAAUUUCUGAGUCCGUCAUUGCUUCUGCCAGAUCUGAAUUCCCUAGUGAUUCCUGAGACUAUUGAAGCUACUGUAAAAUCGGAAUCUAUUGAUAGAGCAUUAUGACGGGCGAUAUCAAUUAUGUAAAUUUUCUCUAUAUACGAUUCUAAAUUUAUUACUUUAUUAGAACUGUAAUUUUAAUUGCGCUAAUAUACUUGUUUAUGUGGUUCGAUUAUUUUGUAUUCUUUGAACUUGUUUAAUUAUUGUUUUGUUUAUGAUACAAUUUUUGUAUAAUGGAAAAGUAUUGCUACAUUGUCAUUUAAAGAGAUAAUUUGCUUGUUAAGAGUAUGUUCAUUCCUAUUGCUAAAAUAAUAUAAAACCAUAAAUUGAUUUUUGUUGAGAGAUAAUUUGCUCUUUAAGACUAUAAUCUUAUAAAAAAAAUUGAAAACAGCUCCCAAUAUUUCAUUAUUUUCUUGCGGAAAACAAUGUCAUGACAAAACAUACACGAAGCAGUUGAUUUUGAGAUUUCUUGUGCAAAGAGCCUAAGAUACAUCAUCAAGCUAUAUAAUACAAAAACUGAGAAUACUAUUAUAAUUCAAUUGCACAUCAGGAAUAUGAGAAUAGAACCUUAUAACCACAUUUAAUAUUGGAGUUAUUAGGAUAUGAGUGCUAGAUUGGAAUAUAUGCAACAAAUAUGUGAUACUAUCGGGUUUUAAAGGCAUUACCUGAAAGCACGACUUUGGACCUAAAUUCAAACAUGAUUCGAAAAGGAAGGAUCACCUUUUGUGUAGAGGGAGAAAUAUUCUUUCAAGAUACGCAUUAUAUUCAUGGCAAUGGAAGCACCUCUGAGCUAAGACAGAAUGUAGUGUUCCGGUAGAAGUCGAGGUGUAAAAUUUUACUUAAACCUUUCUUAUUUAUCCUUCUCACACAUAUUUUUUCUUCUUCUUUCUUCAGUUCGAUUAUGUACUUCUUUUCCAACCUUUCAAAUUCAUAGUGUGUUUUACCUAACUCAUGCAAAGCAAACUAAUAUUUUAAUAACUUUAUUCUACAAAAGCAGACAAACGUCUUGGUGCAAUUAAUUACAUUCACCCUUUAAAAAUAUAUAUAUAUAUACAAUCUAUCAUCUCAAUUUCAAGUUUAAUUUGCACAUUAUGCGUUAGAUUAAUCUUCUAUUCUUCUCCAAAACAACUUCGUCAAGUCUUUAGAUUAAAGAUUGGGAUUUGCUUUCCCAAUCUUGGCGUGGUUCCUCCUGAGUCCUGACAAGCAAUAACUACAGGAUCUAUACAAACUAAUACUAAAGCAAAUGAUAUACAUCGAAUAUUAUAGUGUGCACAAAAGAAAUAAGGAAUGAUAAUUAGGACGGUAUAUUUAGUUUUCGAAACUUAUACCUAACUGUAAUAGGCUGCCACCAUGUCCACCUGAUUUCCCAAUUCCACGAAUCCAAAGUCUAUGUAACCAACUAGGGGGCUGGUUAGUUCUUCCAAGCCAGUAAAAACCCUCGAAAUACCAGAAUUAUCAAACAUUUCAUAAUGAGGAGGAAAGCUCAUGAUUGUAUAUAUGAAUAGAAUUGAUAAACCAAAAAUAAAGUGCGCAGAAUGAACAAGACAGAAGAGGAAAUUGACAGAAUUGAAAUACUAGCAAUUGAAGAAAAAUAAAACGCUUAAGAGUUGUCUUCUUCCAUUUCCGAGGAGCGUCUCUGAUACCAUUUGUAACCAACUAGGGGGCUGGUUAGUUCUUCCAAGCCAGUAAAAACCCUCGAAAUACCAGAAUUAUCAAACAUUUCAUAAUGAGGAGGAAAGCUCAUGAUUGUAUAUAUGAAUAGAAUUGAUAAACCAAAAAUAAAGUGCGCAGAAUGAACAAGACAGAAGAGGAAAUUGACAGAAUUGAAAUACUAGCAAUUGAAGAAAAAUAAAACGCUUAAGAGUUGUCUUCUUCCAUUUCCGAGGAGCGUCUCUGAUACCAUUUGUAACCAACUAGGGGGCUGGUUAGUUCUUCCAAGCCAGUAAAAACCCUCGAAAUACCAGAAUUAUCAAACAUUUCAUAAUGAGGAGGAAAGCUCAUGAUUGUAUAUAUGAAUAGAAUUGAUAAACCAAAAAUAAAGUGCGCAGAAUGAACAAGACAGAAGAGGAAAUUGACAGAAUUGAAAUACUAGCAAUUGAAGAAAAAUAAAACGCUUAAGAGUUGUCUUCUUCCAUUUCCGAGGAGCGUCUCUGAUACCAUUUGUAACCAACUAGGGGGCUGGUUAGUUCUUCCAAGCCAGUAAAAACCCUCGAAAUACCAGAAUUAUCAAACAUUUCAUAAUGAGGAGGAAAGCUCAUGAUUGUAUAUAUGAAUAGAAUUGAUAAACCAAAAAUAAAGUGCGCAGAAUGAACAAGACAGAAGAGGAAAUUGACAGAAUUGAAAUACUAGCAAUUGAAGAAAAAUAAAACGCUUAAGAGUUGUCUUCUUCCAUUUCCGAGGAGCGUCUCUGAUACCAUUUGUAACCAACUAGGGGGCUGGUUAGUUCUUCCAAGCCAGUAAAAACCCUCGAAAUACCAGAAUUAUCAAACAUUUCAUAAUGAGGAGGAAAGCUCAUGAUUGUAUAUAUGAAUAGAAUUGAUAAACCAAAAAUAAAGUGCGCAGAAUGAACAAGACAGAAGAGGAAAUUGACAGAAUUGAAAUACUAGCAAUUGAAGAAAAAUAAAACGCUUAAGAGUUGUCUUCUUCCAUUUCCGAGGAGCGUCUCUGAUACCAUUUGUAACCAACUAGGGGGCUGGUUAGUUCUUCCAAGCCAGUAAAAACCCUCGAAAUACCAGAAUUAUCAAACAUUUCAUAAUGAGGAGGAAAGCUCAUGAUUGUAUAUAUGAAUAGAAUUGAUAAACCAAAAAUAAAGUGCGCAGAAUGAACAAGACAGAAGAGGAAAUUGACAGAAUUGAAAUACUAGCAAUUGAAGAAAAAUAAAACGCUUAAGAGUUGUCUUCUUCCAUUUCCGAGGAGCGUCUCUGAUACCAUUUGUAACCAACUAGGGGGCUGGUUAGUUCUUCCAAGCCAGUAAAAACCCUCGAAAUACCAGAAUUAUCAAACAUUUCAUAAUGAGGAGGAAAGCUCAUGAUUGUAUAUAUGAAUAGAAUUGAUAAACCAAAAAUAAAGUGCGCAGAAUGAACAAGACAGAAGAGGAAAUUGACAGAAUUGAAAUACUAGCAAUUGAAGAAAAAUAAAACGCUUAAGAGUUGUCUUCUUCCAUUUCCGAGGAGCGUCUCUGAUACCAUUUGUAACCAACUAGGGGGCUGGUUAGUUCUUCCAAGCCAGUAAAAACCCUCGAAAUACCAGAAUUAUCAAACAUUUCAUAAUGAGGAGGAAAGCUCAUGAUUGUAUAUAUGAAUAGAAUUGAUAAACCAAAAAUAAAGUGCGCAGAAUGAACAAGACAGAAGAGGAAAUUGACAGAAUUGAAAUACUAGCAAUUGAAGAAAAAUAAAACGCUUAAGAGUUGUCUUCUUCCAUUUCCGAGGAGCGUCUCUGAUACCAUUUGUAACCAACUAGGGGGCUGGUUAGUUCUUCCAAGCCAGUAAAAACCCUCGAAAUACCAGAAUUAUCAAACAUUUCAUAAUGAGGAGGAAAGCUCAUGAUUGUAUAUAUGAAUAGAAUUGAUAAACCAAAAAUAAAGUGCGCAGAAUGAACAAGACAGAAGAGGAAAUUGACAGAAUUGAAAUACUAGCAAUUGAAGAAAAAUAAAACGCUUAAGAGUUGUCUUCUUCCAUUUCCGAGGAGCGUCUCUGAUACCAUUUGUAACCAACUAGGGGGCUGGUUAGUUCUUCCAAGCCAGUAAAAACCCUCGAAAUACCAGAAUUAUCAAACAUUUCAUAAUGAGGAGGAAAGCUCAUGAUUGUAUAUAUGAAUAGAAUUGAUAAACCAAAAAUAAAGUGCGCAGAAUGAACAAGACAGAAGAGGAAAUUGACAGAAUUGAAAUACUAGCAAUUGAAGAAAAAUAAAACGCUUAAGAGUUGUCUUCUUCCAUUUCCGAGGAGCGUCUCUGAUACCAUUUGUAACCAACUAGGGGGCUGGUUAGUUCUUCCAAGCCAGUAAAAACCCUCGAAAUACCAGAAUUAUCAAACAUUUCAUAAUGAGGAGGAAAGCUCAUGAUUGUAUAUAUGAAUAGAAUUGAUAAACCAAAAAUAAAGUGCGCAGAAUGAACAAGACAGAAGAGGAAAUUGACAGAAUUGAAAUACUAGCAAUUGAAGAAAAAUAAAAAGCUUAAGAGUUGUCUUCUUCCAUUUCCGAGGAACGCCUCUGAUACCAUUUGUAACCAACUAGGGGGCUGGUUAGUUCUUCCAAGCCAGUAAAAACACUCGAAAUACCAGAAUUAUCAAACAUUUCAUAAUGAGGAGGAAGGCUCAUGAUUGUAUAUAUGAAUAGAAUUGAUAAAACAAGAAUAAAAUGCGCAGAAUGAACAAGACAGAAGAGGAAAUUGACAGAAUUGAAAUACAAGCAAUUGAAGAAAAAUAAAAAGCUUAAGAGUUGUCUUCUUCCAUGCCACCUCCUUGAGUUGAGAACAGAUUAUAUAGCUGAGCAGGUUUGAUUGGGCUCAACUGGAUUUAUAGUCUGAAUUGUCUAGAGGCCCAAUUAUAAAAAAUAGUCUGGUCACACAAAGCCCAUAUAACAAGUGAUGAUAUAUAUCACAAGAAACAUAGGCAAUAUCUACCUGCUAGCAAUUCGAGUAUGUACAAUUUUAUGUUGAGUAUGUGCGAUAUAAACUGACAGAAGCAUGAGAAUACGUGGAAGGGGAUGUAUGAAUGACUUACAUUCUAAAAAGUAAUACAAACAAUCCCACCGGAAACAGGAGGAUACUGAUGACGGAGACAUCGCCGCCGGUGGCACAGUUUUCAAGGAGGUGCGAGACUGAAGAAGCGAUUGCUGUUGUAUAUAUAGCGCGAUUGAAUUAGGGUUUUACGCAAGAAGGGUAUCAAUUUUUCUGGCAGUGGGGUUUUACUCGCUAGAAAAAUUUAAUCAUCCCUUUUUUUUAGAAGAAAAUUGAAAAAAUUGGGAAAUAGUUGUACGGAUAUAGUUAAUUUUAAUUUUUUAAAGAUUUCUUUUUGUAAAUUUUAAGUGCUUUUUAUCUUUAUUUCAGAUUUAUAUCUUAACAAGAAAAAUAUCUUAAUACAAAAAAUAAUAACAAAAAUAUUGCAGACAAUAGUUUUAAGUAACUAUAAUUAACAUACUUUAUGCAAAAAAAAAAGUAAGUUUUAAUUUUUAUUUAAGUAAAUAAGGUUGCUUAUCAGAUAAAAUCAAAUUUAAAUUUAAAAUAAGAUAAAAAAAUUAAAUAAAAUGUGAUAUAUAAAAUAUUUAGUUUCAUUCAUUGAUGCUUAUGUAACGAAAUUGAUACUUAUUUUUCUUAUAACAGGUCAUGAAAUCAACGAUAACGGGUCUUAUAAAAAAUAUGUUGAGAAAUAUUUUAUAUUGAUCUAUCUGUACAUGUAAUUAUGACAUUUGAUGGAAUCUUCGACACGCGGUUAUCAUAAAAUAUUUUCUCUUGAUCAAAAUAAAUGACAUAUCAUUUGAUUAAAUAUGUAAUAUAUAUAAUAUUACAAAUUUAGUGGUUAAAUAUGUACUAUUAAAUGUCACAACAUAUGUCUCUCAAAAAAAAUAUCACAAACAUAUGAUAUGCACUACUCUAAAUCAUGCAUCGGCCCAAAAUAAAUUUUUAUAAUAUUUUCAUCAAGGUCUGUAGGCCUGUUGAGUAAUAAAAUUUUUAUCAGAAUCACUUUGCAUAAUUAAAAUAUUUUUAAAGGACAACAUCUUACCUUUUACCGGUCUCAAUCUUCUGUUUAUCACAUAUAAUUUUCACAAUUAUCUUAUUAAAAAAUAUUUUUCAUGACCUCCGUCACCUUUUACCGGUCGCAAUAUUCUUAUUGUCCUCUUAUAAUUUUCACAAUUUUUUAUUAAAUAACAUAUUCACGUGACCUACCACAAUAGCACUAUAAUUCUUAUUCACAUAAAUGUUGGCUUCAUCAUGUAAAUUGAGACUCUUUUACAAUGAUUUAAAGAAGUAAGAGAGUGAUGAUGUAACAAGAUGUAGUUAAAAUUUAUAUCUAUUUAAUUUUAGAAAAGAUAAAAUUUAUUCUUAUCUCACCCGUUAUACAUUCACAAUUUAUUUUCUUUCAAAAUUCAAGGGUUCGAAUUUAGCUGCAGGCUCUUGAUGUGUGCUUGGCAACUCAAUAUUUUUUUUUUUAUAAUUGAAAAUUCACAUAUAAGAUAAUUUGUUUUAGCCAACUUCACUGCAUAUUACUCGCGAGUCCUGAGUUGUUAUCAACACAAAAAAGGGGGAAAUCAUAUUAUAUACAUCAUACAACUGGUUAAGAAAAUAUACUACAACAUCAGAAAGCCCAGAACUCCUUGCCCCCCACCACAAACUGCUCACACAUGACAUCUAAGUUAACCAUUAAACAACUAACUCAUCAACAGAAAUGCAUAACCUAUGUUCUGGUGUUUUGCAGCAUCUCAGAAGGUCCCUUUUUGCUAUGACUUUUCUUUAGUUUCCACAACAUAUUUUUCCAUAGUCCACGGCUGCUUAUAUCUUUGCUACGAAUAAUGGCAAAGGAAUUAUUCCCUGCAGCUUCCACAUCUUGAUGUCUAAUGUUAUUUGUUUUCAAGGACGUGUCUGAAGAUUUUAUUGUGUGUUUGAGAGCAAAGGUAGGACCAGAGGUGCUGUCAACAACUGUAGGGGAGUUCGGGGUACAUAAAACUUCUUUCACUAUUGGAGACUCUGGAUACCUUCUCCCAGCACUGUCUUCAGCUAGCAAUUUGUCGAGUAGAGAUGUCCUCUUGC
rnacentral:lncRNA from 1 species